AGUGAACGCUGGCGGUAGGCCUAACACAUGCAAGUCGAACGGCAGCACAGUAAGAGCUUGCUCUUACGGGUGGCGAGUGGCGGACGGGUGAGGAAUACAUCGGAAUCUACUUUUUCGUGGGGGAUAACGUAGGGAAACUUACGCUAAUACCGCAUACGACCUACGGGUGAAAGCAGGGGAUCUUCGGACCUUGCGCGAUUGAAUGAGCCGAUGUCGGAUUAGCUAGUUGGCGGGGUAAAGGCCCACCAAGGCGACGAUCCGUAGCUGGUCUGAGAGGAUGAUCAGCCGCACUGGAACGGGGACACGGUCCAGGCUCCUACGGGAGGCAGCAGUCGGGAAUAUGAGACAAUGGGCGCAAGCCUGAUCCAGCCAUACCGCGUGGGUGAAGAAGGCCUUCGGGUUGUAAAGCCCUUUUGUUGGGAGAGAAAAGCAGCAGGUUAAUACCCCGCUGUUCUGACGGUACCCAAAGAAUAAGCACCGGCUAACUUCGUG
rnacentral:rRNA from 1 species